GCCUGGCUGGCUUAGUUGGUAGAGCAUGUGAUUCUGGAUGUUAGGGUCUUGAGUUCAAACCCCACGUUGGGCA
rfam:Canis lupus familiaris chromosome 10, whole genome shotgun sequence.